AUUACUCCAAGCUUGUGCUCCAC
rnacentral:piRNA from 1 species